rnacentral:ncRNA from 2 species
CUACCCAGUGCCUGCUUCGGUCCGGAUGGGGACAUCCGGUGAAAAGGGAACGUGGUGCGCGGUGCAAUCGCUGCAAUUCCAUGACUGCCCCCGCAACUGUAAGCGGCGAGUGUGACCGGCUCUACGCCACUGGGGGGAUCCAAACCUCCGGGAAGGCCCGGUUCACGCAACGACCCGCAAGUCAGGAGACCUGCCGCAGCGAUCACCCUACC